UACGGAGGGUCCAAGCGUUAUCCGGAAUCAUUGGGUUUAAAGGGUCCGUAGGCGGUUUUGUAAGUCAGUGGUGAAAGCCCAUCGCUCAACGGUGGAACGGCCAUUGAUACUGCAAGACUUGAAUUAUUGGGAAGCAACUAGAAUAUGUAGUGUAGCGGUGAAAUGCUUAGAGAUUACAUGGAAUACCAAUUGCGAAGGCAGGUUGCUACCA
rnacentral:rRNA from 1 species